rnacentral:rRNA from 1 species
AUGAGAUCCCUGGGGAACUCCUUGAGCAGCUGUCGCGCACAAGAAGCAUGCUUUUCAUCAGUCAAUUGGUGGUGGCCGCUUCCAAAUCGUCACGAGAAAUCAAAUCAAGCCGCGACGAACCUCGAAAUGCCGGUCGACGGCCACCUCCGUGUCCCUGUCCUCGCCGACGAGCGCCGAGAGCGCCCGGAACACCGCCCUCUCGUACUCCGUCGCCUUGCCCUUGUGGAAGCAAAGGAACGGGAAAAGGAGCGAGGAGACCGGCCGGGCAGACGCGAGGCUUACGAGGCUGCCGGCGGCGGCGGCGAGGAAGGCGGCGGCCCCGGCGCGGUCGCGCGGGCCGACGAAGUGCGCGGCGUGCAGCGCGGCGAGCGCGCAGGCGGGGUCGGCGGCGGCCGCGCGGAGCACGGCGCGGCCGCGGCCGCGGCCGAAGGACAUGGUCUGCGCGUAGUAGUCGUCCAGCGCCGCCGCGCAGUCGGCGGAGGCCGUCCGGUACUCCUGCCCCCACAUGUCCCUCCUCACCUCCCCCUCCGCCUCCGCCAUCUGCCGCCGCCCGCCUGGCUCGGCUCCUCUGCGCGUCUCCGCUGCUGCUCCGGUGGGUGGGUGCUGUGCUCGUGGGAGUGGGAGGGUCGAGAGGCCGCGUGGGAUUGGGAGUGGUUGUUGCGGAGGCGGAGGCGGAGGCGUGCCGUGCCACCGCUCGCGGCGUCCACGUCUGCUCGUGGUGGGGGUGGGGGGCGCGUGUUGCGUCGUCCCGCGCGUCAGUGA